CCUGGAGACUCCUACGGGAGGCAGCAGUAGGGAAUCUUCGGCAAUGGACGGAAGUCUGACCGAGCAACGCCGCGUGAGUGGAGAAGGUUUUCGGAUCGUAAAGCUCUGUUGUAAGAGAAGAACGAGUGUGAGAGUGGAAAGUUCACACUGUGACGGUAUCUUACCAGAAAGGGACGGCUAACUACGUGCCAGCAGCCGCGGUAAUACGUAGGUCCCGAGCGUUAUCCGGAUUUAUUGGGCGUAAAGCGAGCGCAGGCGGUUCGAUAAGUCUGAAGUUAAAGGCUGUGGCUUAACCAUAGUACGCUUUGGAAAAUUUUUAACUUGAGUGAAAGAGGGGAGAGUGGAAUUCCAUGUGUAGCGGUGAAAUGCGUAGAUAUAUGGAGGAACACCGGUGGCGAAAGCGGCUCUCUGGCUUGUAACUGACGCUGAGGCUCGAAAGCGUGGGGAGCAAACAGGAUUAGAAACACUGGUAGUCCAGAGAA
rnacentral:rRNA from 1 species